GAUGAAGAACGUAGCGAAACGCGAUAAGUAAUGUGAAUUGCAGAAUCCAGUGAAUCAUCGAAUCUUUGAACGCACAUUGCGCCCGCCAGCAUUCUGGCGGGCAUGCCUGUUCGAGCGUCAUUUCAACCCUCGACCUCCCCUUGGGGAGGUCGGCGUUGGGGACCGGCAGCACCCCGCCGGCCCUGAAAUGGAGUGGCGGCCCGUCCGCGGCGACCUCUGCGCAGUAAUACAGCUCGCACCGGGACCCCGACGCGGCCACGCCGUAAAACACCCAACUUCUGAACGUUGACCUCGAAUCAGGUAGGACUACCCGCUGAACUUAAGCAUAUCAAUAAGCGGAGGA
rnacentral:misc_RNA from 1 species